ACUACGGGUGGCUGCAGUGAGGAAUAUUGGUCAAUGGCCGGAAGGCUGAACCAGCCAAGCCGCGUGAGGGAGGAAGGCGCAGCGCGUCGUAGACCUCUUUUGUCGGGGGACAAAAGGCCGGACUCGUCCCGUCCUGAGGGUACCUGGAGAAAAAGCAUCGGCUAACUCCGUGCCAGCAGCCGCGGUAAUACGGAGGAUGCGAGCGUUAUCCGGAUUCAUUGGGUUUAAAGGGUGCGCGGGGGGGCUUUUAAGCCGGCGGUGAAAUCGCGGGGCUAAACCCCGGCGAGCCGUUGGAACUGGGAGCCUUGAGUGCGGCGGAGGUAUGCGGAAUGCGCGGUGUAGCGGUGAAAUGCAUAGAUAUCGCGCAGAACCCCGAUUGCGAAGGCAGCGUGCCGGGCCGCCACUGACGCUGAGGCACGAAAGCGCGGGGAUCGAACAGGAUUAGAUACCCGAGUAGUC
rnacentral:rRNA from 1 species